GGAGGAACCUCUGGAGAGAACCGUUAGAUCGGUCGCCGAAGGAGCAAGCUUAGUGCCCGUUACUUAUCUGUAAGUGAUUCGCUAAGUGAAACUCUCAGGCAAAAGGACAGAGGAGUGGAA
rnacentral:ncRNA from 1 species